rnacentral:rRNA from 1 species
UACGUAGGGGGCAAGCGUUGUCCGGAUUUACUGGGCGUAAAGCGCCUGUAGGCGGCUUGUCAAGUCCGGCCUGAAAGCCCCCGGCUCAACCGGGGAGGGUGGCUGGAAACUGGCAGGCUUGAGGGCGAGAGAGGAGGGUGGAAUUCCUGGUGUAGCGGUGAAAUGCGUAGAUAUAGGAAGGAACACCAGUGGCGAAGGCGACCACCUGGACUGAUACUGACACUGAGGUGCGAAAGCGUGGGGAGCAAACAGG